rnacentral:lncRNA from 1 species
CUUUCAAUAUGUUAAGAGUGUUAUAUGAUGCAGUGCUAGACCAGGUUUGCAUCCUGGUUGAUGCAGCUUUUUUCCUUCCCUGCAACAAUGCUCUGUAUAGCACACACACUAAGGGACGUGAAGACUUCCGGACAUCAGCAGUGUUUUCCAAUUGCACAAGCGCUGUGGUAUCAACUAAUAAAGUGCUGGAGGGCACUUUAUGCAACAAGAACUGUUUAACUGUAGAAGAAAACAGCCUUGGGCAUAAGCAGAGGUUUCUGAAAAGUGGCGCCUUUUGGGAGGAAAGGAGAAGCAGCCAAAUGGAAUCCCACUGUUAA